rnacentral:rRNA from 1 species
AGUGAACGCUGGCGGUAGGCCUAACACAUGCAAGUCGAACGGCAGCACAGUAAGAGCUUGCUCUUACGGGUGGCGAGUGGCGGACGGGUGAGGAAUACAUCGGAAUCUACUUUUUCGUGGGGGAUAACGUAGGGAAACUUACGCUAAUACCGCAUACGACCUACGGGUGAAAGCAGGGGAUCUUCGGACCUUGCGCGAUUGAAUGAGCCGAUGUCGGAUUAGCUAGUUGGCGGGGUAAAGGCCCACCAAGGCGACGAUCCGUAGCUGGUCUGAGAGGAUGAUCGGCAACACUGGAACUGGGACACGGUCCAGACUCCUACGGGAGGCAGCAGUGGGGAAUAUUGGACAAUGGGCGCAAGCCUGAUCCAGCCAUACCGCGUGGGUGAAGAGGGCCUUCGGGUUGUAAAGCCCUUUUGUUGGGAAAGAAAAGCAGCAGGUUAAUACCCCGCUGUUCUGACGGUACCCAAAGAAUAAGCACCGGCUAACUUCGUG